ensembl:lncRNA
AUGCUUUUGAUGCAUUAUUAACCAUAAAAAAGACAUUAAAUACCAGACUUGAAUGCCAUGGGGAUGCAUAUUUCACUAGGAAUUAGUUUUCAAUGUAUGCUUAAAGUUUAUUUUGGUAAACAGAUGACUGGAGGCUGUCAGAGCUGGGGUGAGAUUUAUGUUCAUUCGGAAUUUUCUUGAAAGGAGAGGAAAUGACUGGGACCUGUUGCACACUGCCAGCCAAAUGUAAAUCUUUUCUUGGCUCCAGGGGAUGUUGGAAAGUGCCACACAAACAAUUCCUCCUAGGAAUGUGCUUCCCGGUGGUGUCCAAUGCAGAUGCUCUUGGUGGAGAGGGGGCGCACGGCCCUAGGGAGGGGGUCGAGGGCAUGCACAUUCCUUGUUCUCUAGGAGGAGGCAGCAGAGUCAAACCAUCUGGACAAGAGAGCUGGCCUCAGGAUGCUCUGUUGAAUGCCUUGUUGAGGGUCAGCUGCCGAGAGCACCUUGAAUGAAUCCCCCGCCCUCUCUGAGUCAACCCCAUAUAGGUGCCAAGAGCUGGUUCUUCUGGUACCAACACAUUGCUGAUGAUUCUGGUUUGGGGCAUAGAACUUAUGGGCCAUAUAGGUUCUCUGAUCCUCGUCAAAUGAUGAAGGUUCCCCUCUACACAUCCACACAGCCCAUCCUGGGGAUCUACCCAGUCAGAGGAGCUACCAGGGAACUACAGUCAAGGCAGGACCAGCUGUAACCCGGUGGGACCUAAAGACGAUUUCAGAUGACCAUAGAAAACAGGGUCUACAUUUAGGGUCUCUUCCUGCCUUUUUUCACUGUUUGAUAUUUAAGAAGACUUAUCCUAAAGGGGCUUCCCUGAUAGCUCGGUUGAUAAAGAAUCUGCCUGCAAUGCAGGAGACCCUGGUUUGAUUGCUGGGUUGGGACAAUCCACUGGAGAAUGGAUCUUCUCCCACUCCAGGAUUCUGACUUGGAGAAUUCCAUGGAUUGCAUAGUCCAUGGAGGUAGCAAAGAGUCGGAUAUGACUGAGCAAUUUUCAUUCACUCACUCACUCACUCAUCCUAAAGACAUAUCCAUUUUGGCAGAUACCCAUAGUUUAAUAUAGCUGCUCUGGGCUCAUACACCCAUGUGGAAUGUGAUAAAUUCUGUUGAACACUUGUUACAGAGACACUCAAGUAGAUUCAGAGCCAAGUGGGCACACCUAGCCCAUAAGCAUCUGUUAACACUUUCCUGUUCACAUCCUGCCUGUGCCUGAAAAGCUCUGAGUGCCCAGCAGAUGUUACUACAAGUCUAGGAGGGCUGUGGGGUGGUGGUCUUUAUCAGGUCAAUGAUCCAUGAUUUGCACUAAUAAGACAUUAGCAGUACAAAGAAUGACUGAAAAAUCAUGGAGAAUGGCUUGGGGAUGUUUGUUUGUUUUUUUUUUUUUUCACAGUCUUAUCUUCUUGAACUUUUGCUGGGACUGGUUUAUGUUGUCUGUUGACAUUCCAGUUCCUGAGUAAGACUCGGAAUUAGCCUGUGCAUUUGGGUUUCAGUUUCUUAUAGUAACAAUUAAUUGGAUCAUGGUUUUUGGUGCUCCUUCUUCCAAGGUGGGGAGUGGGUAGGGUUGCUGAUUCUAGGGCAGCAGUCCUCAGUGAAGGGGUUUUGUCCUGCAGCAGGUGUCUGGCAAUGUUUCCAUUCUUCUGGUUGUCACGACUUGCGGGUGCUUCAGGCAUCUAGUGGGUUGAGGCUGGGGAUCCAGCUAAACAUUCAACAAUUCACGGGACCACCACAGAGAAUGAUCCAGCCCCAAAUGGCAGUUGUGCUGAGGUUAGAAACCCUGGCUUAAGGGACUGCAAAGGUAGCUCCUGUGUUUGGAGACUAGAAGCAGGUGGGAUUAGAGAUCAUUUGUGAACCAUCCAGAGUUGAUUGCAUUUCAAAGUGAGAUAGGGGCCCAAAUGCUGAUUUUCCCCUGAAAGUUGAUUUGCAUCUUGCGUCCUGUGUUCAAUGGCUGGUGCUGCAAUGAUGUCAUCACCACCGUGAGAUCCACAGGGUGUGGCAGAGGACACGUCAGGAGUCCAGUGCCAAGGUUGGCAAUGCAGACAUCAAGACAGAAGAACAUGCUUUGCCCUUUAAAAGCUUCUUGUUCCCUGGAGAGACCAGUGAUGUGUCUGAGCAUGGAGAAGACACAGCGGGGCUGAGUCACUAAUGCUGGAUACACCCAAAGUCAAGAAAAAAAAUAGUUACAUUUGGUCUGAGGACAACUAUGUCCUGAAUAAGGUGGUAAGAAGUCUGGACUCAUGAGACACACUUGCAUGUCUCAUUUGAAGGAGCAGUUUCUCCAGUUUGUACCCACAGUAUAGGUCAGUGCUGACCUGUCUCCAGCUCCUGGACUGACGCAAUCUUCAGAAACAGAAGCUGGAGGCCAGAGGAGGAACCAAAUGGGAGAGGCCACAUGCUCCAACGAUGCAAAUGGUAUUACUGAGAAAGAAUGUUCAUGAUGGUUACCAGCCACUGAGUGCAAAAUUGUGUGAUCUCAUCUCACUCCUAGAACAACCCAUGGGGUAGGUACAUUUUUGGCGAUACAGACACCAAAGCAUUGGUGUCAAAGUGACUUACUCAUCUCAGUGGCAGCUCUAGAAUCAGUUCACACCUUAAUGACAAAGUGCCCCGUUUUUGGUUUCCGGUUGCCUGCCUCUCAGAUAAGCAUAGCACUCUGUUGUGUGGGAUGGAUAUGGCAUUCUCCUUAAUGGCACUGUUCAUGGCACUGAGGUCUUCAGAAUACACUCUUGAUGGCCACCAGCAAACAGGUUUCAUGCUGGCAGGAUGCUAUCAAAGGCUGGACAGACUAUAGCCAGAGAACUUGUAGGUCCCUGCACUCUGGGUGAAUGACCCCAGGGGCUACUGUAGAAAGACUAAGAAUUUUGAAGAGAGAUUCCUGUGAUACCGAAUCUGCAGAGAAUGGGAAUGGCCAAGUGCCCAGAGUUGACUUUGGAACUGCUGACGUGAGUUUCCAUCUCAAAGCAUCCCAGUCCUUGGUCAAAAAUUUCCUGUUUUCUGAGUUUAUUUUACUCUGGAUUUUAGAGGUGUUAGCAAUUCUAUUUAGUAGAGAUUGAUGCAUUAUUGUUAAAGUUUUAUCAUAAAUUGGCACUUUCCCCUUGAAAGAUGUUCAUGAACUGUGACCUGAAGUGUGUGAUUUUUCAAGUGUGUUGUUGAACAGAAAUUUUUUUCUGUAGAAACAUGUCUCUGAAAUUUUAGUGUGCAUCAAAUGGGAAUAUGCGAGUCUACUUACAAAAACUCUAUUUAUAAUUCUUUUUUUCCCAAGGACCACAUUAAGUGAAAUAUGACUAUGUAUAGGAAAAAUUUCAUGGGUGGGACCCAUAGG